ensembl:lncRNA MUC20-OT1 MUC20 overlapping transcript
AACCUUUGCUGUCUUGGGACGGAUCACCGCUGCAAGAGGGGAAGUUGCUACUGUGAUGAAUUCUGCCAUGUGGCACCAGACUGCCACCCAGACCACAGUGUCCUCUGCAACCCUGCUUCUCAGAUGACCAAGAUGGUGCUGCAGAUGGUGCUGAGGAUGGAGAACCCACCAAGCCCCGCUAGGAGCCACCUAGACUGGAUGCAGAGCAUGGUGAAAAUGGAGGUUUCCUCCUCCUGCGGCUGAGUGUGGCUUCCCCGGAAGACCUCACUGACCCCAGAGUGGCAGAAAGGCUGAUGCAGCAGCUCCACCGGGAACUCCACGCCCACGCGCCUCACUUCCAGGUCUCCUUACUGCGUGUCAGGAGAGGCUAACGGACAUCAGCUGCAGCCAGGCAUGUCCCGUAUGCCAAAAGAGGGUGCUGCCCCUAGCCUGGGCCCCCACCGACAGACUGCAGCUGCGUUACUGUGCUGAGAGGUACCCAGAAGGUUCCCAUGAAGGGCAGCAUGUCCAAGCCCCUGACCCCAGAUGUGGCAACAGGACCCUCGCUCACAUCCACCGGAGUGUAUGUGUGGGGAGGGGCUUCACCUGUUCCCAGAGGUGUCCUUGGACUCACCUUGGCACAUGUUCUGUGUUUCAGUAAAGAGAGACCUGAUCACCCAUCUGUGUGCUUCCAUCCUGCAUUAAAAUUCACUCAGUGUGGCCCA